CUUAUUCUAAACGCCUCAACUAGUGUGUUUUGUUUCGAAACCUACCACACCCCCACAAGCAGCACUCCGCUUGAAUACAAGUAUUUUGCAUCUAGUAAGGCAGUCUCCAUCAAAAUCAGCUUGUGGGUUUCUUCUCCAACGGCAAAGCAAAACUUAAUUUGGGGAUUUCUUCCAAAGAACACCCUUGUUGAGGUCCAUCUUUUUCUUCUCCAUCUAGCUUGGGGAUUUUCAUCCUCAAACUCCCAACUAUUGCACUGAAAAUAUUGGAAUUUCAGUUCCGACUCAAUUCGUUGGCCCUAAGUUCAGAUUUUGUCUCCUCUUCGCAAUUUGACAGUACUCUCCCUCAGCUGCAAACUCGAUUUCUUUCUCCAGCGAACUCAUGAACGAUUUCUUUCUCUGUCAAUCCAAGUCACUGCCAUCUAUGUCCUGAAGUUUGUGAUUCUACAGAGAUCAUACAACCUUGGGGCUUCAAGAUGCAUUUUCAACCAGGCUAGUAGCUUGCAUAAUCUUUUGCUUUGUUGCUUCUUCUAUUCUCUAUUCUUUUAAAUAAGGUAGUCUAAAUUCUUAGAAUUCUCUUACAUUGUUUAUUAGUUAUAUGUUUUGCGACUUCAGAUCAAUUAAGCAAAUCCAUUCUUAGUAGAGAAGUAAAAUAAAGAAACUAAUAGUUUCGCUCCAUGAAACCAUAGAUUCCUUCUUUCCUUGUCCCUGAGAAUUUUGAGAAAAAGCGGAAUGGUGUCUCCUUGUUUCUUUUACCCUUGCAUUUUGCACCUUGUGAUUAGUUUUCAUUGUAAGAUUUGAACUGUGAAGCAAGUUUUGUACCUGAGACUGCUAAAAUAGUUAUAUGUAGAAUGUCCUAUUCUAUGCUCUACUCUUUGAACUCAUUUUUUGUCCGAAACAUCAAAUUCCUGUCAGAUGUUUCCUAACAAGUGUUAUAUCAAAAGCUAUUUAAAAUGACCCAAGUAAUUGUUGAAGCAUUAGAACUUACUGGACAAAGGGGAAUCAUCAACAAAGGCCGGGGUGGCCUUGGCAAUUUGGCUGAACCAAAGGAUUCUAUGUACUUGCUCAAUAAUUGUCCCCAUGAUUGACUUUUCUUGCAAUGUUCUGCAAUGAUCCGAGGUUGAAGUGCUGCCUCUUUUCCAGUGUCCUGUCUAUUACAAAAAGAUGGGUUACUUCUAUGUAAGGUCAGGUCAAGUGACAGUUUAUACUGCUUGGAGUUACAGUUGGGUGGGGAAAUUGGUGGCUUGGUACUUUUUUGCCACUUCCAAAUACACUUUAUUGCUUCAUAAGGGCCACUCUCACUAGUCCUCACUCAAUUGAAAGCUUUAACAAACUUUCUUUUAUGUGCUUUGUAUUCAAAUUAUCCAAGCUUAGCAUGUGCAAAAGUUGACGGGGCGAAUAGUCGCCUUGUCUAGGUUCAUCUCACGGUCCUCCGACAGAUGCCAUAAGUUUUUUAAUGUGCUGAGAAAGGACA